GGCGAUCAGAUACCGCCCUAGUUCUGACCGUAAACGAUGCCAACUCGCGAUCCGCCGGCGGAGCAUUUCGCCCUGGUGGGGAGCGUCCCGGAAACGAAAGUCUUCCGGUUCCGGGGGAAGUAUGGUUGCAAAGCUGAAACUUAAAGGAAUUGACGGAAGGGCACCACCAGGAGUGGAGCCUGCGGCUUAAUUUGACUCAACGCGAGGAACCUCACCCGGCCCGGACACCGUAAGGAUUGACCGAUCGACAGCUCAUUCAUGAUUCGGUGGUUGGUGGUGCAUGGCCGUUCUUAGUUCGUGGAUUUGAUCUGUCUGCUUUAUUGCGAUAACCGAGCGAGACCCACGCCUGCUAACUAGUCCGUGCAUUGCCAUUGUGCACGCCGACUUCUUAGAGGGAUUCGCGGUGUUCAGCCGUUUGAAAGUGGGCAAUAACAGGUCUGUGAUGCCCUUAGAUGUCCGGGGCUGCACGCGGGCUACACUGGCAAAACCAGCGUGCCUGUCCUGCCUCGAAGGAGGUGGGUAAACCCGGCAAAAUUUGCCGUGAUUGGGAUCGGAGAUUGCAAUUAUUUUCCGUGAACGAGGAAUUCCAAGUAAGUGCGAGUCAUCAGCUCGCGUUGAUUACGUCCCUGCCCUUUGUA
rnacentral:rRNA from 1 species